CCUAGCACGAGCAGCACAGGGCAACUUUACCCCAGGUCAAGAAUGACAUAGGGCUGCAAGGAUGAAAAAAUGCAACUUCUCCAUAAAAUCCCACCCACUCCCCUAACGAAGUGCCUGAACCAACCAGCCUGUGUCUUGCAGACAGAGAAGACAAUCUGCAAUAGCAGAUCUGUUCCUUAUCUUCCCUUGCAAGCAGGAAGGUUCUGUGUAUGCAAAAGAGUUCCUGCACAGAUACGAAAUUGCUGAAGCAAGGCAUGGAUGAAUUCAAGUGAAAACACACAAGAAUCGCCCAACUGCAAUUGACCUCGACAAGAGGUAAAAGCUCCUAAUCUAGGUAGAACACUCAGCCUUUUACACCUCGGCUUGAUUUGGUCAACAGAACUGGAGAGAUACUUUUCAGAAGCCAAGACAAAGCCUAAGUAAAUACUGCAGAAGAAAUGGCUGUACCUUUUCAACAUCAGAGAGAGACGACAGUGACUGAUUUUGCAGAACUUCUGGUGCUGUGAAUGCUCGCAGGUCUUGAUUGGAAACAUUUUCAUCGGUAAAUGAUACACUGCCAGAUGGAAGGAGAAGCAGAGACCACGGAGAAAUGAUGAAGCCCAGAGCAGUGGGAUCAGCUGCAUUUGGAAGGCAAAAGGGGGAAAAAACCAAGUAGCAAUUAAAAUAGCAGAUCAAAAAGGACUUUGCGUAUAUUCAUCCAACAAAGAAAACUGAAUGUACAAGAGCCAAGAGGAGUCUUCAGUAGAAAGAGUGUUCAUAUUUUUACUCCUUACAUUUUAGAUAUCAAGUAACUAGAUGAAAUGAAAAAAUCAAGCAACUGGACAAGUGGACAUUUUUAUCUAUCAUUCAUA